AGAUUGAACGCUGGCGGUCUGCUUAACACAUGCAAGUCGAACGGAGUACCUCGGUACUUAGUGGCGGACGGGUGAGUAACGCGUGAGAAUCUGCCCUUAGGUCGGGGACAACCAUUGGAAACGAUGGCUAAUACCGGAUAAGCCGAGAGGUAAAAGAUUAAUUGCCUAGGGAAGAGCUCGCGUCUGAUUAGCUAGUUGGUGAGGUAAAGGCUCACCAAGGCAUCGAUCAGUAGCUGGUCUGAGAGGAUGAUCAGCCACACUGGGACUGAGACACGGCCCAGACUCCUACGGGAGGCAGCAGUGGGGAAUUUUCCGCAAUGGGCGAAAGCCUGACGGAGCAAGACCGCGUGAGGGAGGAAGGCUCUUGGGUUGUAAACCUCUUUCUUGGGAAGAACAAAAUGACGGUACCAAGGAAUCAGCAUCGGCUAACUCCGUGCCAGCAGCCGC
rnacentral:rRNA from 1 species